rnacentral:rRNA from 1 species
GUAGGGAAUAUUGCACAAUGGAGGAAACUCUGAUGCAGCGACGCCGCGUGAGUGAUGAAGGCCUUCGGGUCGUAAAGCUCUGUCGCAGGGGAAUAACACAAUGAAGGUACCCUGUAAGAAAGGAUCGGCUAACUUCGUGCCAGCAGCCGCGGUAAGACGAGGGAUCCUAGCGUUGUUCGGAAUCAUUGGGCGUAAAGCGGAUGUAGGUGGCUAUGUAAGUCAGAUGUGAAAGCCUGGGGCUCAACCCCAGAAGUGCAUUUGAUACUGCGUAGCUUGAGUGUCGGAGAGGUUACUAGAAUUGUUGGUGUAGUGGUGAAAUACGUAGAUAUCAACAGGAAUAACGGAGGCGAAGGCGGGUAACUGGCCGAACACUGACACUGAGAUCCGAAAGCGUGGGGAUCAAACAGGAUUAGAAACCCUAGUAGUCC